rnacentral:rRNA from 1 species
CCUUGACCUCAAAUCGGGUGAGACUACCCGCUGAACUUAAGCAUAUAU